GUAUGCCACUUCUUCAAGCCAAUACGUCAGGUGGCAGUGGCUGGAAUGGUCCGUGAAGGUAUGCCACUUCUUCAAGCCAAUACGUCAGGUGGCAGUGGCUGGAAUGGUCGUGAAGGUAUGCCACUUCUUCAAGCCAAUACGUCAGGUGGCAGUGGCUGGAAUGGUCCAUGAAGGUAUGCCACUUCUUCAAGCCAAUACGUCAGGUGGCAGUGGCUGGAAUGGUCCGUGAAGGUAUGCCACUUCUUCAAGCCAAUACGUCAGGUGGCAGUGGCUGGAAUGGUCCGUGAAGGUAUGCCACUUCUUCAAGCCAAUACGUCAGGUGGCAGUGGCUGGAAUGGUCCGUGAAGGUAUGCCACUUCUUCAAGCCAAUACGUCAGGUGGCAGUGGCUGGAACGGUCCGUGAAGGUAUGCCACUUCUUCAAGCCAAUACGUCAGGUGGCAGUGGCUGCAGCUGCUGAUUGUGGCUGAGGAUUACUUCACCAUGCCCCUUCCUCCCUCCAGGUUAGACUACACCGAAUUAGGAUCAUUGUUUAACUAACACUGUUCGUAUGUGCAGUGCAGACCGAAUCAUCUGACAGCUGUGAUUGGUUGACUUUGUAUAAGAUUUUUGUGUUUUAUAAAUGUACAUCCAUCCAGUAAUUA